rnacentral:tRNA from 3 species
GGGUUGCUAACUCAAAAACGGUAGAGUACUCGGCUUUUAACCGACUCGUUCCGGGUUCGAGUCCCGGGCAACCCA